UUCGACUUCUUCAGAGAGAACUCUUUUUCACUUUUGCCUUUUCUUUUUGAGCCUAAAACGAAAAGAGCAAGUUGUGUACAAAAAAUAAAUAAAUUGGGGGGCAUAAAUUUUUUUUUUUGCUUCGGGGCAAAAAAAGUUCAGGAACGGCCCUGCAGUGGCACCACCAUCAGAAAACGAAGCAGAUCUAGAGGGUAUCCAACACCUCAUCUCUCUUUGUGAUUUAAAUAUUUUUGGAUGGUCCAAGCCUUCUCUGCCUCACCGACUUCAGAACCUCACAAAUUUAAAAGGCUUAUGGAUAGUAGAGUUUGAUGGUUUGGAGGAUUUUCCUGAGUGGCUGGGAAACUUUUCAUCUCUUCGAGUGUUGUGCAUUUCUAAGUGCAAGAACCUUAGGCGACUGCCUUUCAAGGAAGCCUUCCCCAAACUCACUUCACUUACUCUAUGCCUUUCAUUGCCCUCCCCUGGUGGAAGGAUAUGCAGACAAGGAAGGGGAAGAGUUUCAAAAGAUAUCUCAUAUCAAUACCAUGCAAUGCUGGCUUGGGUGGAAGACAAGACUGGAGAUGGUGGCAUCCACAUGAGCCAUGGUGUCUAUGCUAUUAUUGUACCUCUACCGUGCGCGACUUGGAGUUGACUGAAAUCUAAGAUAUGAUAUCUUAACGCUUAACCUCAGAGGCAGUAGAACAGACAUGGAAAAUGAUCCGAUUCAACCAUACCUGCUCUUUUUCAUUUGCAAACAUUAGUUGUAAAUUAUUUGUGUUGCGAUGCAGCGGAAUAUUAAAUUAAUCUUGAAUCCGUAAGAUUUGGUGCUCCGAAUCCACGAGUGCAAGUUAUCUAUUUCCCGAUA